rnacentral:tRNA from 1 species
AAUCCCCGCUGCCUCCUUGAAAGAGAGAUGUCCUGAACCGCUAGACGAUGGGGGCCUACUUGCCUAACCGCC